rnacentral:sRNA from 1 species
CUAGAAGAUUGAAAAGGGCAUGAAAUUAUGCAGGCUUGGUAUUAGAUCCCAGCUCUGCUACUUUCUCUUUCCAGUAGUCACUGGUCCACAUGGGUUUUUAUCAGGUGUUUCACAGUAUACCCUUUAAAAACAGAAUCCUUUACUGUUUCCUCAAGACACUUGUGCAUGUUACCAGUGGUAGACAAUCUAUGAUCAUUUAUUGAAAAUGUCUAAUCAAACGCUAAUUUUAACACUUAUUUUCUUAGUUUCCCAGAAGAGGUCGCCAUUGUUGAAGAACUUGGCCGCAGACAUGCUGAUGGUUCUUUCUCUGAUGAGAUGAACACCAUUCUUGAUAAUCUUGCCGCCAGGGACUUCAUAAACUGGUUGAUUCAGACCAAAAUCACUGACAGGAAAUAACUGUACCACUAUUCAAGAUCAUCUUCACAACAUCACCUGCUAGUCAUGAGGGAUGUGUGAAAUGUUAGAGGUGUAUUCUGAGGCCAUAUUGCUUUGCAUGCCAAUAAAUAAAUUUUCUUUUAGUGUUGUGUAGCCAAAAAUUACAAAUGGAAUAAAGUUUUGUCAAAAUA